UCAGUGCAUUUACGCUCCGGGCUCCGAUUCGUCGUGCCAAGGCCAGAGCCGACUUUCGUCCUCAAUUCUCCGACGGGAAGAAUAAAUCUUCUGCCGUUGGGUCCGCGCUCCUUCUAGGGUUUUUUUUGCCUUCGCUCCGCCGCCUGGGCGUGACCUCCGUAGAGGAUGGGGAAGCCGAAGGGUGAUGGUGCGAGGAGCAAGUCGCGUCCUUCUAGCAGCAGCUCGGCUGCUUCUUUGCUGCCCUCGGGUGUCUCGACUGUUGGAUUCGGCGGUUACUUGGGGAGUUCUCGAGUUGAUUCCUCUUCGUUAGCUGAGGAUUCUGUGGCCUUUUUGGAUGUUGACAGUGAAAUGACACAACAUUUGAAGCGGCUUGGAAGGAAAGAUCCGACAACAAAGCUAAAAGCUCUGACAACAUUGGCAGUUCUUUUUAAGGAAAAACCUACUGAAGAAUUAGUGCAAAUUAUUCCACAAUGGGCAUUUGAAUACAGGAAGUUAUUGCAUGAUUUUAAUAGAGAGGCCCGCCGAGCUACGCAUGACACAAUGACUGCUCUUGUUAUGGCCAUUAGGAAAGGAUUGGCUCCACAUUUGAAAUCUUUGAUGGGUCCUUGGUGGUUUUCUCAAUUUGAUCCAGUUCCAGAAGUUUCUCUGGCUGCUAGGCUGUCUUUAGAGGCAGCCUUUCCAAUGCAAGAACGAAGGCUGGAUGCUUUGAUGUUUUGUGUAAAUGAGAUUUUUCUCUAUUUAGAUGAAAAUUUGAAAUUAACACCACAAACGAUGUUUGAUAAAGCCAUACCUGCUGAUGAGUUGGAAGAUAUGCACCAAAGAGCAAUUUCAUCUUCAUUAUUGGCAAUAGCAACCCUUAUUGACAUUUUACUGGUUGUAAAAAUGCCAAACUCUGAUAAUGGAAAUUGUUCGCCUGAACAAAAGCUUGUAUCCAGAGCAAGGACUGCUGCAGUAUCUUCUGUUGAAAAUCUGCUUGCUAUGCAUAAGUGUUUUCUUCAACAUAUGAAAUCCAAGCAUCCCAGUGUUCGUACAGCUACAUAUUCUAUCAUAGCUAGCAUUAUAAAAAAUAUCCCACAUGUCUUGAAUGAAGAAAAUGUGAAGGUGCUUUCAACUGCCAUACUUGGUGUUUUACAAGAGAAGGAUGCAUCUUGCCAUUCGUCCAUGUGGGAUAUGUUAUUGCUCUUUUCAAAAAAAAUCCCAAAUGGUUGGUCAUAUUGUAACACCCAGAAAGUUGUUCUCAACAGAUUUUGGCAUUUCUUAAGAAACGGAUGUCAUGGAUCACAACAAGUUUCAUAUCCAGUACUUGUGCUAUUCUUGGAUUCAAUACCGACUGAUGUAAACCUUGGCGAGCAAUUUGUUGAUUAUUUUUUCCAAAAUCUUUGGGCUGGAAGAUAUUCUUCAUGCCACUCACUUGCUGAUAGCAAGGCUUUAUUUGGUGCAUUUAAAGAAUGUUUUCUCUGGGUGUUACAUCAUGUAUCAAGAUAUUGUAAAACAACAGAUGACCAAAGUGAACUUCCUAUCAAGUUGAUAAAUGAUAUUUUUGUAGAACUAUUAUUGAAUGACUAUCUGCUGUCAGCUAGCGUGAAAAAGCGAGAUGAAAGUUCACAAGCAAGGUCUGAUAUCUCAACUGAUGGUGGCAGUUCGCUGUCUCAUGAAAGGCCACAACAGAGAGUUAAUAGUAGCCAUCAAGCGUUUUUUACUGAAGAGUUAUUGAGGUGUAUUAUUGGAAUUCUAUUAGAGAUCUCCCAAGAGGAUCAAAAUUUGACAUGUGUUUUCUGUACAUCCUUUCAGAAGGACUGUCUUGAAAUUAUUCGAGAAGGGGAUUCCUUGCAAAAUUUUCCUGAGUGUAUAGAAAGAAUUGUCAGAUUUUUUCUAGCAAUUGAUAAGUGUAUUUUGCUGAAAGGUCAUGAUUGGCCUUUGCACUUUUUAGGCCGACCGCUAUUUUUUACCACCUUCCCUGUGAUUAAGUCUAUGGAUUCUCUGGAUGCAGUCAAGCUUCUGUCCAUCUUGGUUGAAAUAUUUGGACCCGAUCAAAUAUUCUCAGAGUUUGAUAGCCCAAAUGCAAUGGAUAUUGAAACCAAGACGAAGCAUUUUUUUCAUACAUUCAAUAAUGACUUUAUUCCAUGGUGUUUAGAAGGAGUUGGUAGUUUCGGAAAUCUAAAACUAGAUUUUCUGCUCGAUUUGUUUCAAGAUGACUAUUUUUUUCAGCAAUGGUGUGCAGUUAUCACCUAUUGUGUAGAUGAUACAAAAUUCACUGAAACCUCAGACAACAUUAGUAAUAUUCAGGUGCUUGCUAUUCUCAUUGGGAAGGUCAGGGAAAGAAUUAGGAGCAAGAAGCUGGGAAGGCUGCGAAAGUUUGGCUUGUCACCAGAACAUUGGCACCACGACUUGCUAAAUUCAUCUGCAAUAAGUUUUGCUCACCAGACUUCCAUGAUAAACUGUCAUGCUCAAUUUCUAUGUGCCGUACUUGGAGGGUCAGCCGAAGAUGAUCAGCUUUGCUUUUUGUCUAAAGAAACUUUAAUUAUUGUCUGGGAGGGAAUUUUGAGAAAAAUGACAUCACUUCUUACUUCGUCAUCAUUUCAUUGGGUUCAUUUUGCAUGCUCUUUGAUUCUAGGUUCUGACCACAAUGAUUUUCUUAAGCUGCAAGAAGCAUCUUUCUCAAUGAAGGUUGCAAUGGCUCAAUUUUCUUUUGAAGUUCUCAAGGGUAGCAUAUUUUGCUUGAAGAUAAUUGAUGAUAGUUGCACCUUAGUUUCUUCACUCUUAGCAACCCUAUUUGUUCUUGAUUGGGAAAAUUGCAUGAUGGCUCUGACUUGUACUAAUGAUAAAUUUGAUUGUUCAAAAUAUGCUGGUGAUAUUGAUAAUUCUCUGUUGGAAACUGAAGUUCUUGGCAAUGAGGAGCAGGUUGAUGCCAAGUUGGCUUUGGGAAGAAAAUUUUGUGCCUAUCGCCGUAAGAUAACUCCUAAUUUCUUGAAAAACACAAGUCGCGAGACACAAUCAAGAUUUCAAAACAUUUUAGUGAAAAUAGUAAGGUUUGCAUUACUAGACUCAGAUGAUUUAGUUUCUCCAAAAGAAUCUAUUUCAUUCUGUGAAUGGGUGUUAGAUAUGGCAGAAAUAAUAUGCGACACUAGAAAAGAGAUGCAGAUUUUGUUGGACCAAUUAUUCCAAGAGGGAAAAUCUUGGCCUUUCUGGGUUAAAUCACUCAUUGACAGUGGGAACAGAGUUGCAACUUUCCAGCGUGAGACAGCUUCAUUGAGUGUUAAUGAACACCAUAAUCACAGUUUUGUUGCUUUUGCUGACAAGCUUGUUUCAAGACUUGGAGUCGAUGUGGUAAUUGCAGGUCUUACAGAGAUUUCUAUUGGCUCAUCACGCAUUGAGGUUGUUUCAGGAUUUUCAUCUCCUUACAAACGUGAGUGGCUUGCUGCUGAAAUAAUUUCUUCAUGGGAGUGGCAAGUGAGUAAUGCAACAGAGGCUUUCUUACCUUUGCUUAGCAAAUAUGCAAGAACUGAAACCUCUACUCUUGAAGCUAAUAUUUUGUUCUCUAUUAUUAACACAUUAAUUGAUGGAGCUAUUACACAUGAAACUCAUGAUCACUGGGCAUCUUUUGAUUCAUGGAGGGUUCUGCAUGAUGAAUUUGAUAAAAUCAAUGAUCCAUUUCUCCGUGGCCUAGUUUCCUUGCUCUCUACUUUGUUUGUCAAGGAAAAAGUCUGGGGAAAGUGUGAGGCCAUUCAAUUAUUUAAACAGCUUAUGGAUAAACUUUAUGUUGGCACUUCUGUAGUGCAGUAUUGCCUUAGAAUUCUUCCUUUCAUUUUAAGUAUUAUUAUACCAUCAGCACUAGAAAACUCAGAAUCUGAUGGCACAACUGAAGAAAUUUUGAAAGAUUCUCUACACGAAAACCCAACAAGGAAAUAUGUCAUGAGUUGGCUUGAAAACUCCCUUUCCUUUCCUUCAAUAAUCUCAGCCAAAACAGAACAAGACGUUGAAGAAUGGAUCCAGGCCGUUAUAUCAUGUUAUCCAUUGAGGACAACAAUGGAAACUGGGAAAUUUGAAGUAAGUUUAUUGAGGAAUGUGAGCAAUGAGGAGGCAACUUUGCUUCUGAGUUUAUUCAGAAAGCAAGUAUGCUUUAAUGAUGCUUCUGCAGCCACUAAUCAGAAGCAGAUUAUUUUAGGGAAACUAAUAGCUGUUUCCGUUGGGUAUUGCUGGCAAAAAUUUGAUAAAGAUGACUGGAGUUUUGUGUUAGAUAAUUCACAUAGGUGGUUGGAGUCAUCUGUUUUGUUGCUGGAAGAGAUAACUGAUAGCAUUGAUGAUGCAAUAGUUAACCACACAAUUAUAAAUGGCUUAGAAUGUACUCAAAAGAAGCUCGAAAUCUCUCUUCAGAAUUAUGAUCCAUGGAUAUUUCAUUUAUCAACUGCCGCAUUAGUUACAUUAUGUCUUCUCUCACAACCGGAAGAACAUGAAAAAACAGAUAGUACAGAGGCUUUGCAUCACAUAAAACUUGGAAAGUGGGCUGCAAUGAAAGAUCAAACCAUGGCAAGUAUCUUACGCUUGUUUUUUGCAACUGGAGCUAGUGAGGCUAUUGCAAACUCAUGUAAUGGAAAUUUAUCGAAUGUUGUUGCUUCAAGUAGGCUGAUGCAAUCACAUUUUUGGGGUAUGAUAGCAUCAUUUGUUUGGAAUUCUCCUAAGCUAGUGAGAAGUGCAGCAGUGGAGUCAAUGAAACUUUGGGGUCUUAGCAAGGAUUCCAUAAGUUCAUUGUAUGCUAUUCUUUUCUCCUCAAGACCAAUCUCAUCGUUACAGUUUGCAGCUUAUUGUCUACUCUCUUCUGAGCCUCUAUGUCAUUUGUCAGUUGCAUCAGAAGGUAGUCUGGAGGGAGAAGGUAGCUCAUUUAUGGAGUCAGAACUCUCAUUGGAUGUGGAAUCAUCCAGCGAAGAAACUUUUUGUUUGAGAGAUGAGAUAUCCUUUCUCAUACAGAGACAAAGUGCUGACCUCCCAGAGAUGGACUUGAUAUCUCAAGAGAGGGUGAAUGUAUUUAUAGCCUGGGCACUUUUGCUUUCUUGUCUAAAUUCAUUUUCUCCUUCAUCCAAGGCUAGGGAAAAAAUGGUUCAAUACAUACAGGACUCAGUUAGUUCAACGAUAUUAGAUUGCAUUUUCCAGCAUAUUCCUUUGAAGAGCGGAGCAAAUAAUGUAAAGAAAAAGGAAAUUGAACUUGCAGUCGAAGCUUCUAAUGCUGCUAAUGCUGCUAGACAUUCAAUUACUACAUGCUCUCUAGAAUUAUAUGUACAAUCACUCUGGCCUGUUAGGAUUGAUACAAUGGCCUCACUGGCUGGUUCAAUAUAUGGAAUGAUGAUUCAUCUUCUUCCCUCUUAUGUUCGUAAUUGGUUUUCUAGUCUGCGCGAUCGCUCUCUGUCAUCUGCUGUUGAAUCUUUUACAAAAGCUUGGUGCAGUCCUCCUCUUCUUUUGGAUGAACUUUCCCAGGUCAAAGAGACUGUCUUUGCUGAUGACAACUUCUCAGUGAGUGUUAAUAGGUCAGCUUCUGAGAUAAUUGCUACUUAUAAAAAGGAGGAGACUGGGAUGGAUCUUGUGAUUCACCUUCCAAGUUCCUAUCCCUUGCGCCCUGUGGAUGUUGAAUGCGCGAGAAGUUUGGGAAUUAGUGAAGUAAAACAACGCAAAUGGUUGCUGUCUUUGACAGCAUUUGUUCGCAAUCAGAGAGUCAGUUGGUGCACAAAUAUUCUUCAAAGCAAGAUUCAAUGUGUGCACAACGCAAGGAGUCCAAAAUAUGUGUGGGUACUUUGCCUCAACGAGUAGCCCAGCAGCUUUGCAAACAGGAGCAUUAUCGGUGACCACUUGGACAACAUUCUGAUGUCCCACUUCAUUUAUGGUGGAAGAUAACCUGGAAUUGUUCGUUGAGUAGCCAAACUGAAAGCACGAACAUAAUGAGGAUUCCUAGCAAUAUUGAAAGAUAAUCCCCCAGUGUAAAACAACCUUGCAAUUUCAGAGUGGAGCUCAUCUCUGGCAUUCAAGUUAAAAGAUUUUUCAAGCGGGCCAAGUGGUCCUUUCCUCUUCUUUGUUGGAUCAUCAUUUUGCAAAAUACCACUAGUACAAAAUGAGGAUUUUGAAGCCAUAUUUGAUGAUGCAGAUGACGAAGGCAGCGGAACUUCUUUUUGUUUAGAAUUCUUCUUUCUCAAUUCUGCAUCAUCAAUAAGUUGUUGCAUACGCUUCAUUUGAUCCAUUGUAACAGUCGUACAACCUGCAAUUCCAGCACCUUUUUGUUUUAACAGGUGUGCUUUCACCCUUGAAUAUGAUCCUUUGCACACUUUAUUACAUAUAUUGCAUGACCAAGUAACAUUUCCUCCUCCAACUGCCUUUUCCACCUUGGUUACAAAUUUCCAUAAAGGAGAAUAAUCAUCAACAUCCUCAUGUGCACUGCCACUCUCAUUUUGAAAACUUUCCAUGGCAAGUAAACUGAAAAUAACAACUAACUGAACUAAGAAAUAAGAAGCAAUGCAGGGGACUGGGGAGCCUAUUGUUAAACUUACCAGAAAUCGUACCAAAAGCAAAAACAAAUUUGUGAACUCAAAAGAAAAAACAAAAAACUAAACUUACCACUUUACCAGAAAGAAGGCACUGGGCAGAAAGAGGGCAGCGACGGGAGAGCUGUUGCGAGCAGCGGCGGGAGACGGUGAGCAGCGCCGGGUUGCUGCUGGCUUCUGUGAGGGCUGCUGUUGAGCAGGCGACGACGCGACGCCUGGCUUUUGCAAGCAGCGGCGGUGACGCUGGCUUGAGCAGAGAGGCGACGCUGGCUUGAGCAAAGAGGCGACGGUGGCUUGAGCAGAGAGGCGACGCUGGCUUGAGCAGAGAGGCGACGCUGGCCGCUGGGCUUCUGCGAGCAGCGACGAACUGCUGCUGGGUUCUGCGAGUAGUGGAGCUGUGGCGGAUUCUUCGAGCAGCAACAGGCGACGCGACGAAGAAGUUGUCGCGAUGGAGAAAAGGAAUCGGGGGCGUGGGGAGAGUAGUUUAGGGUUUUUUUGUCAUUUUAAUAAGUAGUCCUCGUAAUUUUAUUAUUUUUCAUUUUUACCCUCGAAAUUUUUAAUUUUGUUACAAUUAUGCCCAAACGUGUCCGAAAACGUGUUUCGUCCGUGUCCUAGCUGUGUCUGGCUGGUCAAACUUGGAAAAAGUCAACGACACGGUUUUUGCCGUGUCCGACACGUAUUUGCGUGUCGUGUCCGUGUCCGACACACCCAAAAAUUUUUUUGGAGGGGUGUCCGUGCUACAUAGUUAAGAACAAGUACUCAUGCAAUAAUCUAGUGGGCUGACAUGAGUAGUAUUGGUGCUGCAGAAGCGGUUCGGAUCGCUAGAGGGGAGGGGUGAAUAGCUAAACUUGCAAGUUAAAACCCGAUUCAAAAAUAAACACAACAUAAAAAGAAGAGGCUCGAUACUUAGUUUACAAUCCAUGGGUUGCUAGUCCAAGAACUAUGAGAAAUCUCUUACAGUAGUUAAGUACAAGAACAAUAAAAAAACUGAAAACAGAAUGAAUUCGAGAGUGUGCUACUUUCCUCUUCAAGCUUCAGUCCCUUUAGAGACUCCAUCUCUAUCUCAACAUUUUGCUGACGUGGUACCUUCCGGUCUUUCGGAAGACGUCCGAUCGACUGGAUCUUUGUUGAUGCCGCUUUAAGCUUUAUUCGUUUCGACAAUGGCUCAAUAAUGGCUGUGGAUGACUCAGUGGUCUUCGGUCGAUUGGAAGUCCCUUCAGUCUCCAAGAUACGUUGCCAUGUUGAUCCAUUUUGACAACGGUCUGGAUGACUCAGUAGUCAACUUCCGAUCGCCUAGAUUAUGGCCAACCUUCGUACUACCAUUUAUUGAUCUCACCUUCUCUGGUCUCUCGGACACUAGGUCGCCCGGACUCAAUUCCUAUCACCCUGGGCAAUCUUCCUUCCUGCUUCUUUUCCCUCGGAUGCAUCAAGCCCUUCCGGCUCAUUCCCCAUGUGUCCUUUUUGCUCCACUAAAAUGCUCUUCUGUAGCUCCUCAUACCUCAGAUACACCGAGCCCUUCUACUCCUUUUCCGUGCUAUUUUUUUCGCUUGCUUGCGUCUUCUGCUAAGGCUUUGCGAUCUUCAAUGCUCCUAAGCCAUCGGGUAUGUGUUCUCUUAAUCCUUGUACACUUAGACACACAUUAAAACACAAUGAGGCCUAACUUAAACUUAUUUGAUUAAACAUCAAAACUCCACUUGAGGUUCUAACAAAUAGGAGGGAAAUCAGUUAUGAAGAGGCAACCUGCAAUAUUUAGUUUCAUAUGGGAAGUCUGGUGAGAAAAUGUUUGCUUAUGGACAUGAAAAUAUAAUUUCUUCUACCACGAAUUAGUUCAAUUUUGUCUAAGUCUGUUCUGCAUUUGUAUCUGGUGUUUUACAUCUGUAUAAUUUUUUAGUUAUGAUUGUUGUUUGAUUUCAAUCUAGCUAUUCUAGUAUGAACAAUCUGAAUGGUUAGUUGAAGAUUAUAAACAUAAACAUUCACAUUAGCAUCACAAUUGGUUUGAGAUUUAAUUGUAGAAACAUCAGAAACUAAAGAGCUCUCCUGAUCCUCCAAAUUCACUUGUACCUUACUACCUUUAAAUAACAUACACUACAAUUUGAAUUAAUUAAGAGGGCAGAGGUGGAUUUCAAUGGUUAUGGUAAAAGUUCAACAAUGAGUAUGACAAUUAUGAUAUCUUGGCAUAUAUAUGUUCCUUUCACUUUGCUUAUUGGUCAAAAUAGGAUAUUUUGAUCCCAUUUGCAUUUUGUUUGAUAGUAGAUGUAAACACACUUGUGAUUUCUCAUAUUUAUUCAUUAUUAGCAAAUAUAGCUGAUUGACAUUAUUAAUUCUAAAAUGUGCAAAUAGAAGCUCACACAUACAGUGCAACUAUGCUAUGCUUCAGCCGCAUGCAGUGUUCAUAUGCUUUUUAAACCAUGCACAGCUGUUGCAUAUAUUUCUCCAAUUUAAAGCCUUUAUUAAAUAUUUUUAUAGUAGUUUGAAUUCACUCUAUAUCUCUGCAUCUA